GACGAACGCUGGCGGCGUGCUUAACACAUGCAAGUCGAACGGAAAGGCCCUGCUUGCAGGGUACUCGAGUGGCGAACGGGUGAGUAACACGUGGGUGAUCUGCCCUGCACUUCGGGAUAAGCCUGGGCAACUGGGUCUAAUACCGGAUAGGAGCCAUUUUUAGCGUGAUGGUUGGAAAGUUUUUUCGGUGUAGGAUGAGCUCGCGGCCUAUCAGCUUGUUGGUGGGGUAAUGGCCUACCAAGGCGGCGACGGGUAGCCGGCCUGAGAGGGUGGACGGCCACAUUGGGACUGAGAUACGGCCCAGACUCCUACGGGAGGCAGCAGUGGGGAAUAUUGCACAAUGGGCGCAAGCCUGAUGCAGCGACGCCGCGUGGGGGAUGACGGCCUUCGGGUUGUAAACUCGUUUCGCUAGGGACGAAGCUUUUUGUGACGGUACCUAGAUAAGAAGCACCGGCUAACUACGUG
rnacentral:rRNA from 1 species